GACAGAGUAGUUGGCAGAGCGUUAAGUGUCGGAAAGACGGAAUGUGCUUCCCGGACGAAAAAUGACAAUCCAUUUGCGGUUUUGCCAACGCAUUCGCUGCA
rnacentral:ncRNA from 2 species